rnacentral:rRNA from 1 species
CGUAUAACGCUGGCAGCUUACACAUGCAGUCGAACGGCAGCACGGGUGCUUGCACCUGGUGGCGAGUGGCGAACGGGUGAGUAAUACAUCGGAACAUGUCCUGUAGUGGGGGAUAGCCCGGCGAAAGCCGGAUUAAUACCGCAUACGAUCUACGGAUGAAAGCGGGGGACCUUCGGGCCUCGCGCUAUAGGGUUGGCCGAUGGCUGAUUAGCUAGUUGGUGGGGUAAAGGCCUACCAAGGCGACGAUCAGUAGCUGGUCUGAGAGGACGACCAGCCACACUGGGACUGAGACACGGCCCAGACUCCUACGGGAGGCAGCAGUGGGGAAUUUUGGACAAUGGGCGAAAGCCUGAUCCAGCAAUGCCGCGUGUGUGAAGAAGGCCUUCGGGUUGUAAAGCACUUUUGUCCGGAAAGAAAUCCUUGGCUCUAAUACAGUCGGGGGAUGACGGUACCGGAAGAAUAAGCACCGGCUAACUACGUGCCAGCAGCCGCGGUAAUACGUAAGGUGCGAGCGUUAAUCGGAAUUACUGGGCGUAAAGCGUGCGCAGGCGGUUUGCUAAGACCGAUGUGAAAUCCCCGGGCUCAACCUGGGAACUGCAUUGGUGACUGGCAGGCUAGAGUAUGGCAGAGGGGGGGUAGAAUUCCACGUGUAGCAGUGAAAUGCGUAGAGAUGUGGAGGAAUACCGAUGGCGAAGGCAGCCCCCUGGGGCCAAUACGUGACGCUCAUGCACGAAAGCGUGGGGAGCAAACAGGAUUAGAUACCCUGGUAGUCCACGCCCUAAACGAUGUCAACUAGUUGUUGGGGAUUCAUUUCCUUAGUAACGUAGCUAACGCGUGAAGUUGACCGCCUGGGGAGUACGGUCGCAAGAUUAAAACUCAAAGGAAUUGACGGGGACCCGCACAAGCGGUGGAUGAUGUGGAUUAAUUCGAUGCAACGCGAAAAACCUUACCUACCCUUGACAUGGUCGGAAUCCCGCUGAGAGGUGGGAGUGCUCGAAAGAGAACCGGCGCACAGGUGCUGCAUGGCUGUCGUCAGCUCGUGUCGUGAGAUGUUGGGUUAAGUCCCGCAACGAGCGCAACCCUUGUCCUUAGUUGCUACGCAAGAGCACUCUAAGGAGACUGCCGGUGACAAACCGGAGGAAGGUGGGGAUGACGUCAAGUCCUCAUGGCCCUUAUGGGUAGGGCUUCACACGUCAUACAAUGGUCGGAACAGAGGGUUGCCAACCCGCGAGGGGGAGCUAAUCCCAGAAAACCGAUCGUAGUCCGGAUUGCACUCUGCAACUCGAGUGCAUGAAGCUGAUCGCUAUAUCGCGGAUCAGCAUCCGC